UUACCUACACCCUCAUCAAGGCCACUGUUGUUUUUAUCAUCAUCCACUACACUUACAAAUUCUUCACCUUCAAGUACUAUUCCACCACCCGUCACUAGUUCAAUAUCCACUACUGCUCUACCUCCUAUUGCACUUAUGCCAACACCUGAGGGGGCCUCAAUUGUCGGGAUCAUCAUUGAAGAGUUUGAAGCUCCAUAUAUAGAUUGAAAAUGGCUAGUACCUUCUCAUCUCUAUCUGGCGAGGGCCACAAAGAUCUUCAAGAAUGACAUAGAGCAUGAGGGGUACGUGUGGCGAUUUGUGCCUAAGAAUACGAAGGACUCGUUCUUCACGGAAUGGAAGGUAAUAAUUAUUAUGAUUAUUCAAUUUUUUUUUAAUUUAAAAGUGAUUAAUAUUAAUAUUUUUUGUUUUAUUUAUUUUUACAUAAAUUUUUCACCCGGGACUCAAGGUACGAGGACCAGCUCCAACUUGAAUAGAAUAGGCAAGCAACCGAGAGAUACAUUGACAUGGUAUCCAGCUGGAAGAGAUACGAAAAGCAGGAUCGAUGUGUCGCAGAGGACACUUGAACGCAUUAUAUAUACUACUAGAAGAAGCUUGAGGUGAAGGUAGCAAGAACCAUCUCAACGACUAUAGCAAGAACUGUCUCAGCGAGGUUGCCGGUCCGGGUAUAGGCUCGGAUCGUCACACUACUAGAUCGAGGUUGGCCAUCGAUCACCGGCGGGCAUUAAUAAGGAAGUUGGGUCGCAAGCCUACUGCUUUGAGCUGUUUCGCCGGUUGUAUAAUAAGACCAAUGACCGAUUCAUCGAAAGUAAAUCCCAA